rnacentral:tRNA from 3 species
UGCGCGAUACUGGGAUUGAACCAGUGACCUCUUCCGUGUCAGGGAAGCGCUCUCCCGCUGAGCUAAUCGCGC